rnacentral:sRNA from 1 species
GGACGAGAUCUGAUUGCAACAUGUGUUACUCCACUGAUUGCCAGGGUUGAUUAAGCUGAUCUAUCUGGCUAAGCAGGUGUCCCCCUCCUCCCUCACAACUCCAUGUUCUUCACAACCUUCCCUGAAUGCAGGAGGGCCAGCCUUCAGUUAAGGGUAGCUAUGCUCACCUGCUAGAACCUCCAAACACGCUAUCAAACAGGUCUUUUGGAUGGGAGUCCUCAGCUUGAG